rnacentral:lncRNA from 1 species
UACACUUGCCAUUUCUUCCCUGAUCAACUCCUGUCGCCACUACUAGCAGCCACUGCUGCUCAUUCAGCCAGCAUUGCCACUGCUUCGUCUAAUUUCUGUCCCUGCAGUCUUCUUCAUUGGCACGGUCAUAGCUUCUCCAAGAUCUCUGAAAGACUAGGAGGACAUAAACUUUAUUUCAGCUAUAACGAUGUUAUUUUCUGCAUUAAACAGUUAUUGUGAUGAUAUCUGGUAGUUGAGCCCAUCUGCUCCAGUAUUUCUUUAAUUUCAUCUGUUUGUGGUGUGCCUGUACUUUUGGUUCCUCUGUUUUGCUUACAGGCUACUGCUCGAUCUGUCUCCCCUUUAAAGUGAUCUUACUUCUCAGAUUUGCUCGUUGUGGUUGCUCUGCUGGAACAGAAGUGUGUAGAUUGUUCACAUAAGAUGUUGAGUACCAAUAAUAUAUUACAAACUAUCGGUUUCGGGUUAAGAUAUCUGCUUACUAAACCAAAAACCCAUGUUAUGUAAAUCUGCCCAGAAAAAAGUUGGCAUUCAUUCUGGCAGGUUUGUCGAGCUUGUGAAACAAGUUUUUGGAGCCUCCUGUAUUUGAAGUACAAUGCGAGAGAAACUGAGAAUUGAUGGCGAACAAGAUCAAGAGAAUCAAGAUUAAUUAAGUUGGGUUAGACACUAACAAUUCCAUUCUUAUGUGCCCUUCAGUCCUUCACUCUCUUCUCCUACCCUGAUUUGCCUUUCUUUUCGAGGUUGAAUCCCCUGGCCUCUGCAUUAUUGUGAUGCACACAUCUAUCUUUGCUGAAGUAGAUGCAAGGCAACGAGACUAAAGUCAUGAACAAGCAGAACAUAACAAAGAUAACUAUGUCAUAACAGUUGCAAGGUAUGAAUCUAACACCUAUGAUUUAGUCAACUUUGUCCACAACAACGCCUUCAAGAAGGGAUAAAUGCCCCAGAAAAAACACCCCCCGCGUCGCCCUCCUCUGGCGACACGGGGGGCGACUCCCCUCGAGCGCCGUCGGGCCUUCCCCCCCUUCUCGUCUCGCCGAUGUCGGAGGCCCUCCGCCGGCGAAGCUCGGGCAGGCUCCAGUGAGGGUGGCGGUGGGGCCUCUCCCUGGGUGCCCUCCGUUCUUCUCCUCCCCUCCUCGCUGGGUGUGGCGGCUGCGCGGCGGCGCGCGCCCGAUCUACGAGGUCUGGCGGCGGGGAGCAGCCGCGGUCCAUGGCGGGCUGCUGGCUGCGGCCAGUGUCGUCAUGGUGGCCCAGACACGUGGUGGGGUGGACGCGGUUGGCCGGGGCUAGCGGCCAGAUCUAAGCGCCAUGCGCGACAGCGGGGAUGGCUGGUGGUGCCGCGGUGGCUGCGUUCGGCCGGUGCUCUGUGUUGCUUUGGCGGCGGGGCUGGCGGUCGGAGGUGCGGUCGGUGGUUGCUUGCUCUGUCGGACCUUAGGCUGGGUCUUGGCGAGCGGCGCGGGUUAGGGCAACGGCCCGACGUGGUGGUUGCUCUGGUCAUGGGCUACGGCGGCGUGGGGAGGUAUGGUGGCCUCUCUGCUGCUUGGUGUCUACACGACAGCUCAGCGGAUCCGGCUGCUGCGACGGUUGGCUUCUCCGCCAGCGCUGGUUCGUUUGCAGGUGGACUGUUUCGGCCUUCAAUCCUUCUCCUCGGCGCCGUGCGCUACUUUCGUCGAAGGGCCGGUCCUCUCCCAGCUGCGGUCCAUCGCCCGUCUCGCGCCCAGUGUUGCAGAACCGAGCUAGUCCCGCGCCCGGCUGCAGGACCGAGGUUGUCUCGCGCGCGGUAGCAGGACCAUGCUUGUCUUGCGCCCGGCUGCAGGACCGAGCUCAUCUCGUGCUCGGCUGCAGGAUCGUGCUCGUCUCACGGCCGGCUGCAGGGCCGUGCUCGUCUCGUGCCCGGUGCGGCAGGACGGGUCGAUGGGGGCCAGUUUUGGCCGGCCUAUUGGGUCUCGGCGUUCUAGGGGUGCAAAAGGCGGGGCCUUUCCGCUCGUCUCUUUGAUUGGGGUAGCGGCGGGUCUCGAGUGUUGAUGGUGUCCCAUGCUUCCUUGGCCGUCUUCUUGGCGCCAAGGGUGAGCACCAUCUCAUGUGGGAUAGAGCGCAAGAUCGCCUCCAUCGCCAACCGGUCCUCCUCGUACCCGACAUCGCCGGUUUCCACGGCUUUCCACAUAUGCCGCACCUCCAUGAUGACUUCCAUCAGGGUAGUUGGUCCGCGUGAGGAGAGGGAAGGAGGUACUGGACAUGCCCACGUCUCGCACGGAGCGUGGCGCACCCAGCUCGCCUCCCGGCCUGCCUCGCAGCACGAGCGCGUUUGCCGCACGGGCCUCCUCAGCCGAGCUCUGCUCAACGGUCUUGGAGCCGUCGCCGGCGACGCCUUCUUUCGGCAUAUGCUUCGGCAUAUAACCUAAGGCUCUGAUGCCAAUUGUUAGCCCAACUACAGUCUAGCUAGCUCUCCCGCCGGGAUCGAACUACAGACUAGUUAGUACCAGACUGAAGAGCAGAAUAUCUGGACGAGGAUCACUAGCACGAACACUACCAAGCACACACACUCACAUACUAGUGAGGAGACACGGUGGUACUACUAGUGGAAGCUGAAUGAUUUUGCUUCUGAACUGGCUUGAUUACAAGUGAAGGAGCCGGGUCCUUUUAUAGGCUGGGCUGGACGUGCACACAGCACGCCCACACUGAAAUUCCUACAUACUUGCAUGUCACUUACGGGACUACUACCAUAACCAUGCAAAGCACCUUCCUAGCAACUACUAGCGUACUUGCUUGCACAGCUAAAGUCUACUUCUAGUCAAGUUCCUCAACGUUAAGGAAAACUACAGGAAAUAACUAGGAAACUACCUAGUCAUUGCACGCCAAGGAAGCUGUUGGUGCUGCAUGCAUGCAACCGAAGACCAUGGUUGACUCAACACGGACUUGACUCUCUACCAUCCAGAAGAAGCGCUCUAUGACGAUAACUCGAGGGCGAGUUCCAAACAACCAGGGGAGAAUGAUGAGGAACGAUAGAUGAGAGAAAAAGAAGAAGAGAGAAAAACACAUGCCAGAUCUGUUUGGGUACUUCUAGAUACUUCCACUCUAGUGUAGUAUUUCUUUUCUUUUCUUUUCUAUCCUACCUACUGUUUUCCAGAGUCUUCUAGUUGUGAGUAGCUAUGAGUAGAAU